rnacentral:misc_RNA from 1 species
CCAUGUGUGAACAUACCCUGUCUUUUGGUGAAGACGGAAAGCUGCCUUGGUGGGUGUCUGUAGUGGUGUUAACCUCUUUUUAUAAGGGGGCAGCCCACUACCGCUAGCCACCAGCAGCAUACAAGUCUUUUACCACUAUAAACCUUCUGUAUAUUUUUUAAAAUUUUUAAAAAUUGCUGAGUGGCAUAACUAUAAAAAAAGUUA